rnacentral:rRNA from 1 species
GGGGAUAUACUGGAUAGGCAAUUUUUCCUGUAAUGGUUUUUUGUUUAAAUGUUUUUUUCGCCUAAGGAUGGGUCUGCGGCAGAUUAGGUAGUUGGUUAGGUAAUGGCUUACCAAGCCUUUGAUCUGUACGGGUUGUGAGAGCAAGAGCCCGGAGAUGGAACCUGAGACAGGGUUCCAGGCCCUACGGGGCGCAGCAGGCGCGAAACCUCCGCAAUGUGAGAAAUCGCGACGGGGGGAUCCCAAGUGCCAUUCUUAACGGGAUGGCUUUUCAUUAGUGUAAAAAGCUUUUGGAAUAAGAGCUGGGCAAGACCGGUGCCAGCCGCCGCGGUAACACCGGCAGCUCUAGUGGUAGCAGUUUUUAUUGGGCCUAAAGCGUCCGUAGCCGGUUUAUUAAGUCUCUGGUGAAAUUCUGCAGCUUAACUGUGGGAAUUGCUGGAGAUACUAUUAGACUUGAGAUCGGGAGAGGUUAGAGGUACUCCCAGGGUAGAGGUGAAAUUCUGUAAUCCUGGGAGGACCACCUGUGGCGAAGGCGUCUAACUGGAACGAUUCUGACGGUGAGGGACGAAAGCUAGGGGCGCGAACCGGAUUAGAUACCCGGGUAGUCCUAGCCGUAAACGAUGCGGACUUGGUGUUGGGAUGGCUUUGAGCUGCUCCGGUGCCGAAGGGAAGCUGUUAAGUCCGCCGCCUGGGAAGNACGGUCGCCAAGACUGAAACUUAAAGGAAUUGGCGGUGGGAGCACCACAACGCGUGGAGCCUGCGGUUUNAAUUGGAAUUCAACGCCC